rnacentral:misc_RNA from 1 species
AAGUCGUAACAAGGUUUCCGUAGGUGAACCUGCGGAAGGAUCAUUAUCGAGUUUUGAAGUGGGUCUUAUGAGCUGGCUUUUCGCGAAGCACUGUGCUCGGGCCCCGCUCCAAUCCACUCAACCCCUGUGCACUUUCGGAGUUGCGGGUCCUUUGUAGUGAAGGCCUGUGGCUUCGUCUCUUAUCACAAACCAUAUGUAUUAUUGUUUUGUAGAACGUGGAUGCCUGCAAAGGCGGAAACUCAAUACAACUUUCAACAACGGAUCUCUUGGUUCUG